GUGCCAGCAGCCGCGGUAAUACGAGGGGAGCUAGCGUUAUUCGGAAUUACUGGGCGUAAGGCGCACGUAGGCGGCUUUGUAAGUUAGAGGUGAAAGCCCGGGGCUCAACUCCGGAAUUGCCUUUAAGACUGCAUCGCUUGAAUCCAGGAGAGGUGAGUGGAAUUCCGAGUGUAGAGGUGAAAUUCGUAGAUAUUCGGAAGAACACCAGUGGCGAAGGCGGCUCACUGGACUGGUAUUGACGCUGUGGUGCGAAAGCGUGGGGAGCAAACAGGAUUAGAUACCCUGGUAGUCCACGCCGUAA
rnacentral:rRNA from 1 species